rnacentral:rRNA from 1 species
AUACGGAGGGUGCAAGCGUUAUUCGGAAUCACUGGGCGUAAAGGGUGCGUAGGCGGUUUGAUAAGUCUGAUGUGAAAUCCUAUGGCUCAACCAUAGAACUGCAUUGGAAACUGUCAGACUAGAAUACUGAAGGGGCAGAUGGAAUUAGUGGUGUAGGGGUAAAAUCCGUAGAUAUCACUAGGAAUACCGAAAGCGAAAGCGAUCUGCUGGGAAGUUAUUGACGCUGAGGCACGAAAGCGUGGGGAGCAAACGGGAUUAGAAACCCUAGUGUCC